GACGAACGCUGGCGGCGUGCCUAAUACAUGCAAGUAGAACGCUGAAGGAGGAGCUUGCUCUUCUGGAUGAGUUGCGAACGGGUGAGUAACGCGUAGGUAACCUGCCUGGUAGCGGGGGAUAACUAUUGGAAACGAUAGCUAAUACCGCAUAAGAGUAGAUGUUGCAUGACAUUUGCUUAAAAGGUGCAAUUGCAUCACUACCAGAUGGACCUGCGUUGUAUUAGCUAGUUGGUGGGGUAACGGCUCACCAAGGCGACGAUACAUAGCCGACCUGGGAGGGGGAGCGGCCACACUGGGACUGAGACACGGCCCAGACUCCUACGGGAGGCAGCAGUAGGGAAUCGUCGGCAAUGGACGGAAGUCUGACCGAGAAACGCCGCGUGAGGGAAGAAGGUUUUCGGAUCGUAAAGCUCGGUUGUAAGAGAAGAACGAGUGUGAGAGUGGAAAGUUCACACUGUGACGGUAUCUUACCAGAAAGGGACGGCUAACUACGUG
rnacentral:rRNA from 1 species